UACAGGGGGUGCAAACGUUGCUCGGAAUUAUUGGGCGUAAAGCGCACGUAGGCGGUUUGUUAUGUCGGAUGUGAAAGCCCUUGGCUCAACUGAGGAAGUGCAUCCGAAACUGGCAAGCUAGAGUAUGUAAGAGGGUCGCGGAAUUCCCGGUGUAGAGGUGAAAUUCGUAGAUAUCAGGAGGAACACCUGUGGCGAAGGCGGCCCUCUGGACGGAUACUGACGCUGAGACGCGAAAGCGUGGGGAGCAAACAGG
rnacentral:rRNA from 1 species